rnacentral:rRNA from 1 species
UACGAAGGGGGCUAGCGUUGCUCGGAAUCACUGGGCGUAAAGCGCACGUAGGCGGCUUUCUAAGUCAGGGGUGAAAUCCUGGAGCUCAACUCCAGAACUGCCUUUGAUACUGGAGAGCUUGAGUCCGGGAGAGGUGAGUGGAACUCCGAGUGUAGAGGUGAGAUUCGUAGAUAUUCGGAAGAACACCAGUGGCGAAGGCGGCUCACUGGCCCGGUACUGACGCUGAGGUGCGAAAGCGUGGGGAGCAAACAGG